AGUGAACGCUGGCGGUAGGCCUAACACAUGCAAGUCGAACGGCAGCACAGUAAGAGCUUGCUCUUACGGGUGGCGAGUGGCGGACGGGUGAGGAAUACAUCGGAAUCUACUUUUUCGUGGGGGAUAACGUAGGGAAACUUACGCUAAUACCGCAUACGACCUACGGGUGAAAGCAGGGGAUCUUCGGACCUUGCGCGAUUGAAUGAGCCGAUGUCGGAUUAGCUAGUUGGCGGGGUAAAUGCCCACCAAGGCGACGAUCCGUAGCUGGUCUGAGAGGAUGAUCAGCCACACUGGAACUGAGACACGGUCCAGACUCCUACGGGAGGCAGCAGUGGGGAAUAUUGGACAAUGGGCGCAAGCCUGAUCCAGCCAUACCGCGUGGGUGAAGAAGGCCUUCGGGUUGUAAAGCCCUUUUGUUGGGAAAGAAAAGCAGCAGGUUAAUACCCCGCUGUUCUGACGGUACCCAAAGAAUAGGCACCGGCUAACUUCGUG
rnacentral:rRNA from 1 species